AGUGAACGCUGGCGGUAGGCCUAACACAUGCAAGUCGAACGGCAGCACAGGAGAGCUUGCUCUCUGGGUGGCGAGUGGCGGACGGGUGAGGAAUACAUCGGAAUCUACUCUGUCGUGGGGGAUAACGUAGGGAAACUUACGCUAAUACCGCAUACGACCUACGGGUGAAAGCAGGGGACCUUCGGGCCUUGCGCGAUUGAAUGAGCCGAGGUCGGAUUAGCUAGUUGGCGGGGUAAAGGCCCACCAAGGCGACGAUCCGUAGCUGGUCUGAGAGGAUGAUCAGCCACACUGGAACUGAGACACGGUCCAGACUCCUACGGGAGGCAGCAGUGGGGAAUAUUGGACAAUGGGCGCAAGCCUGAUCCAGCCGUACCGCGUGGGUGAAGAAGGCCUUCGGGUUGUAAAGCCCUUUUGUUGGGAAAGAAAUCCAGCUGGCUAAUACCCGGUUGGGAUGACGGUACCCAAAGAAUAAGCACCGGCUAACUUCGUGCCAGCCGCCGCCGUAA
rnacentral:rRNA from 1 species